AACGAACGCUGGCGGCAUGCCUAACACAUGCAAGUCGAACGAGACCUUCGGGUCUAGUGGCGCACGGGUGCGUAACGCGUGGGAACCUGCCCGUAGGUUCGGAAUAACUCCCCGAAAGGGGUGCUAAUACCGGAUAAUGUCUUCGGACCAAAGAUUUAUCGCCUUUGGGUGGGCCCGCGUUGGAUUAGCUAGUUGGUAGGGUAAAAGCCUACCAAGGCGACGAUCCAUAGCUGGUCUGAGAGGAUGAUCAGCCACACUGGGACUGAGACACAGCCCAGACUCCUACGGGAGGCAGCAGUGGGGAAUAUUGGACAAUGGGCGAAAGCCUGAUCCAGCCAUGCCGCGUGAGUGAUGAGGGCCUUAGGGUUGUAAAGCUCUUUUACCCGGGAUGAUAAUGACAGUACCGGGAGAAUAAGCUCCGGCUAACUCCGUG
rnacentral:rRNA from 1 species